rnacentral:piRNA from 1 species
AGCUAUAGAGAGGGGGUGCUAUAGAAAGGUCACCUUUAAUGUAAAAUGCUUCUGUUACGUAUUUUUAAAUGAGCGUUAUAGAUAGGGAGGCGCUAUUUAGAGGUGGCGCUAUAGACAGGUUUAACUGUAUAUAUUACAUUAUUGUGACAUAUACAGUAACCUCUGUAGUGGAUCUGUAGAUAAUAUAUUAACUAAGGAUGACAUCAUACGAAUGGUUCAAUGAGAAGCUAAAGUUGAAAUGGAAGAAGAAGAUAUCGAGCCAGGAAAUCACUUUCUCUUUUACUUUUCUUCUUUCAAAGAAUAUUUACCAAAGAAUUGAAUAUUUUGAAGAAUAAUGUGAAGAAUACCGAGGGCCAACAGCCCGAAACGCGUACGUGAUUAGAUUUUCUUGAUUUAUAAAGAAAUUGGUUUGGCCAAAUAACACUGUACAAGUUAAAUAAACGUUUAGUUUAUUUUUGUUCCACUAGAUGGCGCUCUGCAAUCUAGAUAUGAUCAUGUGAGCACGGUCAGGAUAUGCCUUUUUUAUUUUUAAUAUAUUCAUAUAUUUAGAUAAUAAAAAGGCAUAAAAAAUAUGAAUUGCUCUAUUUUCAGAACUAUAUUCAUAUGUGUUCAUGAAUAUUAGUAUUUACUUAAAUUAGUAUUGUUAUAUAUGAUUAUUUAUUAAGCAUUGAGAACGUAAAGAAUAAAGGAGAUAGAUGCAGACGACAGUUCACUCGGCGACAANNNNNNNNNNNNNNNNNNNNNNNNNNNNNNNNNNNNNNNNNNNNNNNNNNNNNNNNNNNNNNNNNNNNNNNNNNNNNNNNNNNNNNNNNNNNNNNNNNNNCCAGAAAUGAGAAAAAAACGAGAUUUAAAGAAGGCGAGUUCUUUUCCAUGCCUAUAUCCUUAAAUAUUUUAUCAAUAGAAUAAAGAAAACAAUAUUUUUAUUUCAAUUUUUUUACAAUCUGGAAAGAAUCAUUGUCAACAUUUUGGUUGAUAUUAUUGUAAUUCUCACUGCUGAGCAAUUUCGCGAAACUAUUUAUAGCAAUACUUAGGUCCCGCCUAGUCAAAUGGAAUGAAACUAAUGAUAUUAUCCCAGAGAAUCAAGCGGGCUUUAGAUCUGCUCACUCAUGUCAAGAUCAUAUUUUCAUAUUGACGUCUGUAAUCCAACUUGCCCUAAGGAAGAAAAGAGGUAAAUGUUACUCCUUCUUUGUAGACUCAAAAAAAGCUUUUGAUACGGUUCCUCACGCAUUGCUAUGGACAAAACUAGUCAAAAUAGGACUGAAUCGCCGAUUUGUCAACCUAAUUAAAUGUUAUUAUGAAGACAUGACCGCUGCGUUUCGUUGGAACAAUUCUAUCACUGAAUUCAUUGAAAUUCGUUCGGAGGUGCUCCAAGGUGACCCACAAUCCCCAUGCCUAUUCCUACUCUUUAUUAAUGAUUUGAUUAAAAUAUUUGAUGACUCGGGGUUGUCAGGAAGAUACUUACCCAAUUUCGGAAACAUACACCUCCUCCUAUAUGCCGACGAUAUUUUUUUGAUCGGUGAUACUAAAAUAAACCUUAAAUUGAAAAUCAAUGUACUGAAAACCUAUCUAGAAACUAACUUACUAACUCUGAACGAAAACAAGCCAAGAAUAAUGGUUUUCCGUAAUGGUGGAAAGGUGGCGCGUUCAUAAAGAUGGUAUUGGGGUCAAAGUCCUUUAAGUGUUGCAUCAAAAUAUUCGUACCUGGGCUACCCGCUCACCCCUUCGAUUUCUUUAAAUUAUAGAGGCAGGACCAUGGCCGCGAUGGGUGCUGUGGGGGAGAUUAUUCUGAGGUCUAAGCUCAAAUCCUUCCACGCGAGUAUGAGAUUGUUGGAUUCUAUGAUCUUGACAGUCCUACUCUAUGCGGCUCCAAUCUGGGCACAUGAUCAAGCCUUAAUCUUAAAUAGAAUCCAGGAUACCUUUCUCAGACGUUUUCUGUGCCUUCCAAGCUAUAAUCCGGGCUAUAUUUUGAGGGCCGAAACAGGAAGAAACUCUCUUGAUAUCACAGUGAAAAAACUAACUUUAAAAUUCUGGACUAGAAUUCUGAAAAUGGACGGUAGCAGGCUACCUUCAAUUUGUUUGGCACAUUUGUGGGACAUUUCAAUUUCUUCAAAACAGAAUAUCGGACUGGUAAAAAGUAUAACAGCGCUACUCAAUACCACCGGUUUCUCAUGGCUUGUUGGAUGUACAGACUUCAAUAUUCUACAAAGAUACAUCCCCCUAAUUAUUAGAACGGCAACCGAUCAGUCUUUGCAGAUGGAUUAUGUAAGAAUAAGAAAAUCAGUAUUCUACUCCCACUAUAAAUACUUUCACUCAUCACCUACAAUGUAAUGCUAUCUGAAUGACAAUAUCCCCCUAACCUUAAAGAGAAUCAUUGCACAAGUAAGAAGCCUUUUUGUAGAACAGAGAAUUAAUCAUGUUUCCCUAUUGAAAACUAGGACCAUAAAAUGCACCUUAUGCAACGGUGAAUUUAGUCUCGAAUUUCCACACUACAUGUUCUACUGUACGGCAAUGGAAGAAGAAAGAGAAAUUCUUCGUCAAGAGUCCGGCUAUAAUAGCAAUUCGCCUUAUGUUAUAAUGGCAAAAGUCGUAAAAUCUAGACCCUUUGCAUUCGCUUUUUAUAAAUACUGGAAAUCAUCUCAAGAAAAAUGUUUAGCACAGACACCGGCUCCAACUUGAUAAUUGGUCGAGGUCAAUACCCAAUAUUUGUAUAUAAAAUGAUGCUAAUUUGUUAAUUAUUCAUUUUGUCCUACCGGGAGAAUCUUGUAUGGCACGUGUGCCCAAUAAAAGCUAUUGUUGUUGUUGUUGAUAUUAGUGUAAUUUAAGAUUUCAUUUCAAAAUAACAAAGUAGAGGGAAUUUGCAAGCCGCGACUCUCUCUGUCAAUAAAAUAUAACAAUUCUAUAAAUAUAUCCAUCUUUAAAAUAAAAGUAGACAUAUCCUGACCACAAGCACAUGUACACUUUAGAAUGCAGAGCUCCAUCUAUUGGAACAGAAAUCAACUAAACGUUGAUUAAGCCUGAUCCACUAGAUGGCGUUCUACCAUCUAAAAAUCUCAUGUGCUCGUGGUCAGGAUAUUUCUCUUUUGAUUUUAAUACCAACACCUGACCUUUUUAUUAUUUUUUAAAAUUAUUUUUCACAAAUCCAUCUUUAUCAAACUUAAAUUAGUUCAAAUAUUUUUCGAUAAGCAUUUAGACCAGAAUUUGUGUUUUAAUAGAAAUAAUAAUAUUUGACCAUGGGUUGAACGAUAAGGAGAUGCCUUUUUAAUAAGUUAUUAUUAUAUGUUAUAAGUGAAAUAAGAAAGAGAAAACGCUGCUGUGACUAUGUCAACAUCAUUUCGAAAGCUCUUGUAAUGUAAAGACAAUUAUGUUAGUUUUCAACUACCCUGAUUCCAGUUGACAGUCCUGAUGCAUUCUUUCUCUUUAGGCAUUCGUUGAACAUGUAUCCUAACGUAAUAAACCUACAAACUGAAUAUGGAAUGGACAGAAAAAAUGAGAGAAUUUAAUUAUUGGGCGACCUAACUGGGUUUUCUUGAACUUUUCCUCUGACCACUGACAUUACAUUACUUUGAUUUCAUCUACUUGCAUAGCAAUUUAUCUAAUCGGAGGCCAUGAUUAUUCCUCCUGCAAAAUCAGAAAACUUCUUUAUGACUCUCACUGUCCUGGCAAUCAACACAACAAAGAUAUUAUAAUGCAUUAGCGCGCCAUCUGUUAUGAAAAUUCGAAACUAUUAUAGACGCGUAUGAUUCUUUUAGAAAUAAAACAAUUUAUACUACCCUUACUACUAGUACAAUGGAAAAUUAAGGGGAGGGCCUGGCUCAUCAGUGGUGAACCCUCCAAGCGGUUUCGCCAGAUUAAUCAUACCAUCUACCAUACCAUACCUGGCGAAAUCGAUGGGAGGGUUCACCACUGAUGACCCAUGCCCUCAUAUUAUAUUUUCCAUUGCAGUAAGGGCAGUAGAAAUUGUUUAAUCUUUAAAAGAAUCAUACGCGUCUAUAAUAGUAUCGAAUUUUCACAAUAAAUUUAAUCUUAAAACAAAAACAAGAUUAAUUAAUGAUACACNNNNNNNNNNNNNNNNNNNNNNNNNNNNNNNNNNNNNNNNNNNNNNNNNNNNNNNNNNNNNNNNNNNNNNNNNNNNNNNNNNNNNNNNNNNNNNNNNNNNCUCGACCUGUCUCCAUGUGACAAAUUGUUACUAAAAAAGCAGAAAGUUUUUGUGUCACUGAUAGACUAUCGACUUCCCGUUUAUAUUGAAUUAUCUCAGGGUGUUUGUUGAUAUGUCUUUAUAUUUCACCUUUCGUAGAACCUAACACAAUAUAACAGAAAACAUUUUAAAACUUAUUAUUUUCUAUAUAUAUAGUUUUCAAUAUUUGAAAAAUCGGUUCUGCUCUUCAUUGGAAAAUAAAGAAGUAUGGAGGAAAAUAA